GACGAACGCUGGCGGCGUGCUUAACACAUGCAAGUCGAGCGGUAAGGCCCUUCGGGUACGACGAGCGGCGAACGGGUGAGUAACACGUGGGUGACCUGCCUCUAGCUCUGGGAUAAGCCUGGGAAACUGGGUCUAAUACCGGAUAUGACUCCACGGCGCAUGUUGUGGGGUGGAAAGCCUUGUGUGGCUAGAGAUGGGCCCGCGGCCUAUCAGCUUGUUGGUGGGGUGAUGGCCUACCAAGGCGACGACGGGUAGCCGGCCUGAGAGGGCGACCGGCCACACUGGGACUGAGACACGGCCCAGACUCCUACGGGAGGCAGCAGUGGGGAAUCUUGCGCAAUGGGCGAAAGCCUGACGCAGCGACGCCGCGUGAGGGAUGACGGCCUCGGUUGUAA
rnacentral:rRNA from 1 species